UGUUUGCUAUGAUGAAUCGCAAGGACGGUAUCUGAGUGAGGUGGCUCUUGAAAAAGGGCUCUUAUCUUGAUUACACAUCCUAAACUGAUCAUAUCUUCUGAGCAAACA